ACGACUACAUUAGAUACCCCGGUAGUCCCAGCCCUAAACGAUGCGCGUUAGGUGUAUCGGUGACCACGAGUCACCGAGGUGCCGAAGGGAAACCGUGAAACGUGCCGCCUGGGAAGUACGGUCGCAAGGCUGAAACUUGAAGGAAUUGGCGGGGAGCACCACAACGGGUGGAGCCUGCGGUUUAAUUGGACUCAACGCCGGGAAGCUCACCGGAUAAGACAGCGGAAUGAUUGCCGGGCUGAAGACCCUGCAUGACCAGCUG
rnacentral:rRNA from 1 species